GACGAACGCUGGCGGCGUGCUUAACACAUGCAAGUCGAACGGUGAACGAGGGAGCUUGCUCCCUCCGGAUCAGUGGCGAACGGGUUAGUAACACGUUAGCAAUCUGCCCCGAACUCUGUGAUAAGCGUUGGAAACGACGUCUAAUACCGGAUACGACGCGGGAGGGCAUCCUCUCCGCGUGGAAAGAACUUCGGUUCGGGAUGAGCUCGCGGACUAUCAGCUUGUUGGUGAGGUAACGGCUCACCAAGGCGACGACGGGUAGCCGGCCUGAGAGGGUGACCGGCGACACAGGGACUGAGACACGGCCCAGAGUCCUACGGGAGGCAGCAGUGGGGAAUAUUGCACAAUGGGCGCAAGACGGAUGCAGAAACGCCGCGUGAGGGACGACGGACUUCGGGUUGUAAACCUCUUUUAGCAGGGAAGAAGCGAAAGUGACGGUACCUGCAGAAAAAGCACCGGCUAACUACGUG
rnacentral:rRNA from 1 species